ACUUUAAAUAACUAACAGGUAGUAUUUAUAAAAAACCAAUUAAGCUUGGCAGUUGUAAAACCCUAGAGAAACUUGUUUUUUAAACGACACUACCCGAUAAAUUUUACUUAAUUUAAAAAUUUAUAUACCGCCGUUUAAAGAAAUACUUUCAAUAAAAUUUCACAAAAAACAAUUAUUAAAAAAUCAGGUCAAGGUGUAACUUAUAAUUAAGAAAAAAUAAGUCACUUAUAAAUAAAAUUUAUGAAAUAUUUUAAUUAAAAUUAAUAAAGAAAAAGAAUCUAUAAUCAAAUUAAAACAAAUAAAAUAUUAAGUUGAAAAUAUCAAUUACAAUAC
rnacentral:rRNA from 1 species